UACGGGGGGGGCAAGCGUUGUUCGGAAUUACUGGGCGUAAAGGGCUUGUAGGUGGCCAACUAAGUCAGACGUGAAAUCCCUCGGCUUAACCGGGGAACUGCGUCUGAUACUGGAUGGCUGGAGUGUGGGAGAGGGAUGCGGAAUUCCAGGUGUAGCGGUGAAAUGCGUAGAUAUCUGGAGGAACACCGGUGGCGAAGGCGGCAUCCUGGACCAUUACUGACGCUGAGGCGCGAAAGCGUGGGGAGCAAACAGG
rnacentral:rRNA from 1 species